rnacentral:rRNA from 1 species
GAAGAGAUUUGGGAGUGCGUACGCAAGAGAGCCGGAACACAGGUGCUGGCAUGGCUGUCGUCAGCUCGUGUCGUGAGAUGUUGGGUUAAGUCCCGCAACGAGCGCAACCCUUGUCAUUAGUUGCCAUCAUUUGGUUGGGCACUCUAAUGAGACUGCCGGUGACAAACCGGAGGAAGUGGGGAUGACGUCAAGUCCUCAUGGCCCUUAUGGGUAGGGCUUCACACGUCAUACAAUGGUCGGUACAGAGGGUUGCCAACCCGCGAGGGGGAGCUAAUCCCACAAAGCCGAUCGUAGUCCGGAUCGCAGUCUGCAACUCGACUGCGUGAAGUCGGAAUCGCCAGUAAUCGUGGAUCAGCAUGUCACGGUGAAUACGUUCCCGGGUCUU